CCUACGGGAGGCAGCAGUGGGGAAUAUUGGACAAUGGGCGCAAGCCUGAUCCAGCCAUGCCGCGUGUGUGAUGAAGGCCUUAGGGUUGUAAAGCACUUUCACCGGAGAAGAUAAUGACGGUAUCCGGAGAAGAAGCCCCGGCUAACUUCGUGCCAGCAGCCGCGGUAAUACGAAGGGGGCUAGCGUUGUUCGGAUUUACUGGGCGUAAAGCGCACGUAGGCGGAUCGAUCAGUCAGGGGUGAAAUCCCAGAGCUCAACUCUGGAACUGCCUUUGAUACUGUCGAUCUGGAGUAUGGAAGAGGUGAGUGGAAUUCCGAGUGUAGAGGUGAAAUUCGUAGAUAUUCGGAGGAACACCAGUGGCGAAGGCGGCUCACUGGUCCAUUACUGACGCUGAGUGCGAAAGCGUGGGAGCAAACAGGAUUAGAUACCCUGGUAGUCCACGCCGUAAACGAUGAAUGUUAGCCGUGGGCAGUAUACUGUUCGGUGGCGCAGCUACGCAUAACUACUACCGCCGUCGGGAGGUACGGUCGCGAAGAAGUUAAACUAACAAUAGUAAGUUAGACGGACGUGAGACGUAGCCGACGGACGACGACGAGGGAGGAGG
rnacentral:rRNA from 1 species